GGCCGCAUGGCCCAAUGGUCAAGGCGUCUGACUACGAAUCAGGAGAUUCCAGGUUCGAUCCCUGGUGUGGUCG